CCCCUGGUGGUCUAGUGCUUAGGAUGCGGCGCUCUCACCUCCGCAGCCCGGGGUUCGAUUCCCGGUCAGGGAA
rnacentral:tRNA from 1 species